rnacentral:rRNA from 1 species
UACGUAGGGUGCGAGCGUUGUCCGGAAUUACUGGGCGUAAAGAGCUCGUAGGUGGUUUGUCACGUCGUCUGUGAAAUUCCGGGGCUUAACCUCGGGCGUGCAGGCGAUACGGGCAAUACUUGAGUGCUGUAGGGGAGACUGGAAUUCCUGGUGUAGCGGUGAAAUGCGCAGAUAUCAGGAGGAACACCGAUGGCGAAGGCAGAUCUCUGGGCCGUUACUGACGCUGAGGAGCGAAAGCAUGGGGAGCGAACAGGAUUAGA